CCAAACAAACGAGCUUAUGGCACAGCCUUCUGGGAAAUGUAGCUCCCGGUACAGCGGCCAAACACUCUGGCCCCGCCCCAAUCUCCCUCGCCCCUAUUGCUGCAGAAGGCGCUUGUAUUUCGAGGUAUGGUGCUUUGACUGAUUUCAAAUGUCACGUAAGCCAAGAGCCACUGUGCACGGGAGCAAGGAAGAUGUGAACAGGGACAUGCAAGUGGUUACAGGGGUGAUGGUCUGAAUACCCAAGUUGUCAUAACAGAGUGAGAGGGAAAGAGGAAGUCAAGAGCAAAGCUGGGCCAUCACUGGAGGACAUGCCCUUCCCCCAUAGAGUUGGAGACCCCACGGACAGAACUCCUCAGGUAAGAGUAGGUUCAUCACCACAGCUGGAGACCCCAUGGGCAGUGGGGACUCUUCUCCAUGAGACAGAGAUUCUACAAGUGGUGGUGCCCACAUUGCCAUGAAUGGAGCCUCCUCACCAAAGAAGAUCCACUGAUGUCGCCCAUAGGCCAGGGCAGCAGAGGCCAGGGGGCCAGACCAGGUUUGAGGGCUGAGUCACAUUAUCACAGGGCAUCCUCACCAAAGCCGUGAGAGGACAAAGCCUGAGAGAUCCGACCAAGGUAGCAGCUACCUCAGAGUUCCAGUCACUGAAGCAGACACCCAUGCAAUCCCAGAACACAAGGGGGCAAAGGGAAAAAAGCACCCUGUUCACCAGCUGAGAGCCUGUCCCCCCAAGCUAGUCAGAGAAUGCCUAAGUAAACACCAUAUUCUCCUUUGUCUGGUUUAAUAUGUCCAACAAUUACAAGCUGCAAUCCUAUCACGGUAAUGAGAAAUUAACUCAACUAAAUACUGAAGGCUUUGAAUUUUUGCAGCUAAUCAACUUGAGAAU